rnacentral:rRNA from 1 species
AGUGAACGCUGGCGGUAGGCCUAACACAUGCAAGUCGAACGGCAGCACAGUAAGAGCUUGCUCUUACGGGUGGCGAGUGGCGGACGGGUGAGGAAUAAAUCGGAAUCUACUUUUUCGUGGGGGAUAACGUAGGGAAACUUACGCUAAUACCGCAUACGACCUACGGGUGAAAGCAGGGGAUCUUCGGACCUUGCGCGAUUGAAUGAGCCGAUGUCGGAUUAGCUAGUUGGCGGGGUAAAGGACCACCAAGGCGACGAUCCGUAGCUGGUCUGAGAGGAUGAUCAGGCACACUGGGACUGAGACACGGUCCAGACGCCUACGGGAGGCAGCAGUGGGGAAUAUUGGACAAUGGGCGCAAGCCUGAUCCAGCCAUACCGCGUGGGUGAAGAAGGCCUUCGGGUUGUAAAGCCCUUUUGUUGGGAAAGAAAAGCAGCAGGUUAAUACCCCGCUGUUCUGACGGUACCCAAAGAAUAAGCACCGGCUAACUUCGUG